UGCUGGGAUUAUGCACUUCCGGACUGCUGGGAUUUAAAUCCUGCAUCACCACAGCUGGGCCUCAAAGCACUCUUUAGAAAUUCCAAGUGUAUUCGCCAUAGCAUGUAGUGGAGGUCAGAGGACAACUUUUACGUUUUGUUGUUGUUGUUGAGACAGGCUCUCUCUUUGUAGUCCUAGCUGUCCUGGAGUUCACUAUGAAGACCAGGCUGGCUUCCAGUUCACAGAGAUCUACCUGCCUCUGCAUCCUGAGUGCUGCGAUUAAGAGGCCUACCAUGCCAGGCCUCAGAGAACAAUUUUUGGAAAUUGAUCUCUUCUACCAUGUAGGUCUGGCGAUCAGAAUCAGGUCACCAAGCUUGGCAGUGAGCAUCUCUACCGGAUGAGGCAUUUUGUCAGACCUGAAACACUUUGAAGAUAGAAUCUUACUGUGUAGCCUGGGUCUGGCCUCCCAUGGGUGCACUUCAGCUUCCUGCCUCAGCCUAGCAGGCUGCUCUGUCACCAUCUGCCACCACCAGGUGUAUGCUGCUGAUAAAAGGGCCCCUGCCACCUGGAGUUUGCUCAAACUCACUCUCUCUCUCUCUCUCUCUCUCUCUCUCUCUCUCUCUUCUAUAUCUCUCUGUCUCCCCGUCUGCGUGGCAACUUCUCUGGCCUCAUGGCCUCAUUCUCUGAGAAUGGUAAACUUGCUCAGAGCUGUUCCCAAAUAAAUUUGCUUUUA
rnacentral:lncRNA from 1 species